GGUCCCCACCAAGGCAGCGUUGAAAUACUACGCCGACGUGGGGGAGGGCUCAUCUCAGGGUGUUGCUGUGCCUUCCACUUCCGGUGCCGGGCAUCGGUCCUCUCGAGUUAGGCACAUUGCGGUGCCGCUCGGGGCCGAUGUUCCGGGGACGA
rnacentral:sRNA from 12 species